rnacentral:rRNA from 1 species
ACGCCUUAUACAUGCAAGUCGAACGAAGUAGCAAUACUUAGUGGCAGACGGGUGAGUAACAUGUAGGUAUCUUCCCUUUGGUGAGGAAUAACACGAGGAAACUUGUGCUAAUACCUCAUAAGUCUUUACGGAGAAAGCUUUAUGCGCCAAAGGAUGAGCCUGCACUUGAUUAGUUUGUUGGUGGGGUAAUGGCUUACCAAGACUUUGAUCAAUAGCUGAUCUGAGAGGAUGAUCAGCCACAUUGGGACUGAGACACGGCCCAAACUCCUACGGGAGGCAGCAGUAGGGAAUAUUGCACAAUGGAGGAAACUCUGAUGCAGCGAUGCCGCGUGAGUGAAGAAGGCCUUUGGGUUGUAAAGCUCUUUCGUCGGGGAAGAAAAUGACUGUACCCGAAUAAGAAGGUCCGGCUAACUUCGUGCCAGCAGCCGCGGUAAUACGAAGGGACCUAGCGUAGUUCGGAAUUACUGGGCUUAAAGAGUUCGUAGGUUGUUAAAAAAGUUGGUGGUGAAAUCCCAGAGCUUAACUCUGGAACUGCCAUCAAAACUUUUUAGCUAGAGUAUGAUAGAGGAAAGCAGAAUUUCUAGUGUAGAGGUGAAAUUCGUAGAUAUUAGAAAGAAUACCAAUUGCGAAGGCAGCUUUCUGGAUCAUUACUGACACUGAGGAACGAAAGCAUGGGUAGCGAAGAGGAUUAGAUACCCUCGUAGUCCAUGCCGUAAACGAUGUGUGUUAGACGUUGGAAAUUUAUUUUCAGUGUCGCAGCGAAAGCAUUAAACACACCGCCUGGGGAGUACGACC